rnacentral:tRNA from 1 species
GGAGCUGUAGUUUAUUGGUAAGAAUUCUACGUUGUGGCCGUAGAGGCCUGGGCUUGAAUCCCGGCAGCGACA